AGCCAUGGCCGCUGCCACAGGCAGAGAGAUAAUCACCAAAUGCCCCACAGAUGUGGGAGAGGACUUUUCCGCCUCUCUGUCGCUGAAGUAGUUUGUGGCACCUGGACCAUUGGUCAUUAUCGCCGCUCGGCCGCAGCAGCGCGGGCACGGCGCUACAAGAAAUCUUUGCAUUGCUACAGGAUCAGAGGUCACCGCUGCAGGGGACCAGGGCUGGUUUAUUAAACAGCCAAGUCUGUUUAAGGUGUAAUUCCUCAGGAAGAGCAGUGUGCUUGUGGCCAUUUUAAACGGGUUAACGGAGCGGGUCCGUUCAAGCCCGCGUGCGCUUUUCCCCGGGCACAAACCCCAGCUCGGGCUGGCGCCCGGGGUUGCUGUCGGCCGAGUCGCCUCAGCCCCGCAGGUCUGUGACCUCCGGCUCCUGCCUAUGUCAUAUUCCUGUCCUCCGGCUGGAAACUGCAGAGGAAAGUGCAGGAUGCAGCUGACACCGCUCCGGCCGCGCUGCUAUUUCUGCUGCAGCUUCCUGUCCUUGACCCAGCGAUACAUUGUGAAGUUCUCCUGAGUCAAUGAAUCCUGGUAAAAUGCAGUAAAGGAUUUAAGGUUAUCGUCUGUCUCUCUCUAACUUCUGACAUCUCUUUAUAACAAGAAAGAGUCACAGCCAACUGUAACAGGAGGGCAACACAAUGAAUCCUGAAGAGGCCAUACAGACCUUGUCAUCUGGAGAUGAGGGAGUCACAGCCUUCCAGGGAUCUUCUGCCAAUGUUUCACCACCUUCAUGCCUCUUGUGAAGCAUUUCCAGACAGCUGGAGAUCCCCCUGCCCUCUUGGCCUGAAGAAUCACAGUGCCCUCAGCCUCUCCUUCACUUGUUUCCUGCUAUAGCCUCCACUGGAGCGGGUUAAUGUCUUUCUUGUACUGUAGGAGAUGCAGUAAUUAAAUUUGAAUUUUUCAUUUAUAACAUCUAUUUUUUGUUCAUACACUUACUGGUAGUGUAACACUCUUAACACCUCCUAUAGCUGUACCUUCUUUUUGAGUUUUUUCCUGUUUGGUGUAGUUGGAUGUGCUUCUACUUCAGCUGUCAGUUUUGUUCUCUGAAGUCCAAAUUUCUCCUUGCACUGCCAGUUCUUCGGUUACAUCCCUUGCCACUGACUAGACAACCCAUGUUUCAGCAUCUUACAGGCUUUCCAAGUGAAAGUACUCUCCCAUCCAUCCCCCCACCCCUUUAUUUCUUUUUUUCUUCCCUUUUCUACUUGAAAAAUCUUGUUCUGCUUCCUGCAAGAAGCUGGAACCCAAGGGUGUGGUUCCCUCAACACACUGCCCAUGGACCAACAAAGUUCAGGACAGAGAAUACCUAGAGGAGGGGAUCCAGGAUUUUAAAAUGAUAAGAGUAUGAGAGCUCCUCUGAGUUUGACUCUGUAAAAUUACUGACAGCACUUGGCUCUGCUGUGCUGCUGUAUGGAAUGCUUCUGAGUUUCACCUGCAGGUCACUGAGAACAGAGCAUACUCAGGACUUAGCAGAAAUUAUUCCCUCUUUUGAAGGAUCAAGCUCUUGAAGAACCCCCACUGUUAGAAAUAUGACCUCUUCAGGUACUUAAAAUUACUUAAUUAGCAUUAUAAACAUUAGAAAGAACAAGAUCAUUCUAGCAAAGUGAAUAGAGCUGUAAUUGCAGGUGUUACAGAAUUUAGUACAAAAGAUGGGUGUUCCCAAUAUUUGUUUUAAAGUAUUUUACAAGGCUAUAUAAAGAAGGAAGAAAGCAAGCUAUCAGGUAGUGGGGGUUUUCCCCUCCAUGUUUUUGUGAACUAAAAUUAGAGGGAACACAUAACAAGCAUCUUGCUAUUAAAUUUGCCCAUGACAAAUAGUGCAGCUGCAUGUAGUGUGCAGGAACAUCUGUAGAAUCAUGACACAUGCAGAAUUCCCCCACACUGAGAGCGUGACACUAUACUGAAAACAAUUCAGUUGUAGAAGCAAUAUAAAUAUAUUUUAUAUAAUCUUUCUCCACCUUCUCCUCCCCCUUGUCUUUUGAAUCAUGUUAACUACAGGAUUCUGUCACUUCUUCCCAGCAUCAGUAAAAAGUAUAAAAGUGACUAAGCAUUUCAGAAUUAUGGUCUUCUUUCAUUAGCAGCUAGGAUGCAGACAUUUCUUAUCUGAAGAAACAAAAAAAGAAAGAAUAACCAGUGGCAGAAAUGCACUAGAAAGACACCAUAGUUUACUCCAAAUGGAACUUGACAUGGUUUGAAGAUGCAAUUUAACUCUUGAGAAAUCAAAGGAUGAUUUUCUAUGUCAGCACCUCACGUGGUUGUUCAGUUCAAAGUGAGCUGUCGGAUUGCUGCCAGUCUUUGCUUCACCCAUGUAAGUGAUGGCACAAAGUACUGUGAUACAUGAUAUCACAAAGUGCUAUGGAAUAAUAUGUCUAAAAUCUACAGAUUUCCAAAGUAAGGGGAAUCUCCUUGCCUGGGAUUUUGUGAGUUCCCACAGUUUAUUGUCUGUAUGUAGUGAUGGUAGAACUUGCUCGACGACCCUUUAAGCUCCAUAUGGUC